CACGUAGGAGGCGAGCGUUGUCCGGAAUCAUUGGGCGUAAAGAGCGCGCAGGCGGCUUGGCAAGUCGGGUGUGAAAUCCCGGGGCUCAACCCCGUGACUGCAUCCGAUACUGUCAGGCUAGAGGUAGGUAGGGGAGAUCGGAAUUCCUGGUGUAGCGGUGAAAUGCGCAGAUAUCAGGAGGAACACCGGUGGCGAAGGCGGAUCUCUGGGCCUUACCUGACGCUGAGGCGCGAAAGCGUGGGGAGCGAACAGG
rnacentral:rRNA from 1 species